rnacentral:rRNA from 1 species
GAUGAACGCUAGCUACAGGCUUAACACAUGCAAGUCGAGGGGAAACGACAUCGAAAGCUUGCUUUUGAUGGGCGUCGACCGGCGCACGGGUGAGUAACGCGUAUCCAACCUGCCCAUCACUUGUGGAUAACCUUGCGAAAGUAAGACUAAUACCCAAUGAUAUCUCUAGAAGACAUCUGAAAGAGAUUAAAGAUUUAUCGGUGAUGGAUGGGGAUGCGUCUGAUUAGCUUGUUGGCGGGGUAACGGCCCACCAAGGCAACGAUGGGUAGGCGUUCUGAGAGGGUGAUCGGCCACAUGGGGAGUGAGAUACGGCCCAGACUGCGACGGGAGGCAGCAGUGGAGAAUAUUGCACAAUGUGCGGAAGACUGAUGAAGCAGCGCCGCGUGCGGGAUUACGGCCUUCGGGUUGUAAACCGCUUUCGCCUGUGACGAAGCGUGAGUGACGGUAAUGGGUAAAGAAGCACCGGCUAACUACG